rnacentral:rRNA from 1 species
AAUACGGAGGGUGCAAGCGUUAGUCGGAAUUACUGGGCGUAAAGCGCGCGUAGGUGGCUUGAUAAGCCGGUUGUGAAAGCCCCGGGCUCAACCUGGGAACGGCAUCCGGAACUGUCAAGCUAGAGUGCAGGAGAGGAAGGUAGAAUUCCCGGUGUAGCGGUGAAAUGCGUAGAGAUCGGGAGGAAUACCAGUGGCGAAGGCGGCCUUCUGGACUGACACUGACACUGAGGUGCGAAAGCGUGGGUAGCAAACAGGAUUAGAUACCCUGGUAGUCCACGCCGUAAACGAUGUCGACCAGCCGUUGGGUGCCUAGCGCACUUUGUGGCGAAGUUAACGCGAUAAGUCGACCGCCUGGGGAGUACGGCCGCAAGGUUGAAACUCAAAUGAAUUGACGGGGGCCCGCACAAGCGGUGGAGCAUGUGGUUUAAUUCGAUGCAACGCGAAGAACCUUACCUACUCUUGACAUCCUGCGAAUUUGGUAGAGAUACCUUAGUGCCUUCGGGAACGCAGAGACAGGUGCUGCAUGGCUGUCGUCAGCUCGUGUUGUGAAAUGUUGGGUUAAGUCCCGUAACGAGCGCAACCCUUGUCCUUAUUUGCCAGCGCGUAAUGGCGGGAACUCUAAGGAGACUGCCGGUGACAAACCGGAGGAAGGUGGGGACGACGUCAAGUCAUCAUGGCCCUUACGAGUAGGGCUACACACGUGCUACAAUGGUCGGUACAAAGGGUUGCCAACCCGCGAGAGUGAGCCAAUCCCGAAAAGCCGAUCUCAGUCCGGAUCGGAGUCUGCAACUCGACUCCGUGAAGUCGGAAUCGCUAGUAAUCGUGGAUCAGAAUGCCACGGUGAAUACGUUCCCGGGCCUUGUACACACCGCCCGUCACACCAUGGGAGUGGACUGCACCAGAAGUGGUUAGCCUAACGCAAGAGGGCGAUCACCACGGUGUGGUUCAUGACUGG